rnacentral:lncRNA from 1 species
CCUUCCUUCAGGCCCUAUACAUCCCUUCGAGGAUGGCCUUCGGAGUGGAGGGCAUGACGUGGGAUCCCCUUAAAGAAGAAUCGAGGGACUGAAGACAGCGAGGGCUGGUGCGGAGGAAGUGGCUGAAUAGUUAGGCUCUCAGACGAAAGAAAGAUGCUAUCCAUUCGGCAUGAUGGAGCCCCAAAGGAAGAGUAAGGGGUUUAAAUAGCCAGCGGAUCUUAGCACAGUUAUGGCGGCGGG